rnacentral:rRNA from 1 species
CCUACGGGAGGCAGCAGUGAGGAAUAUUGGUCAAUGGACGAGAGUCUGAACCAGCCAAGUAGCGUGAAGGAUGACUGCCCUAUGGGUUGUAAACUCCUUUUAUAUGGGAAUAAAACAGGGUAUGCAUACCCUCUUGUAUGUACCAUAUGAAUAAGGCUCGGCUAACUACGUGCCAGCAGCCGCGGUCAUACGUAGGGUCCGAGCAUUAUCCGGAGUGACUGGGUGUAAAGAGUUUCGUAGGUGGCAUAAUAAGUAGCUAGUGAAAUCUGGUGGCUCAACCAUUCAGACUAUUAGGUAAACUGUGUAGCUCGAGACCGUUAGGGGUAACUGGAAUUUCUAGUGUAGGAGUGAAAUCCGUAGAUAUUAGAAGGAACACCAAUAGCGUAGGCAGGUUGCUGGGACGGUUCUGACACUAAGGCACGAAAGCGUAGGGAGCAAACGGGAUUAGAUACCCUGGUAGUC